GCCUUCGUGGUGUAGUGGUCAGCACGCUCGACGCGUAACCCAGAGGUCCGUGGUUCGAUUCCCGGCGAAGGCA
rnacentral:tRNA from 1 species